rnacentral:rRNA from 1 species
GACGAACGCUGGCGGCGUGCCUAAUACAUGCAAGUUGAGCGAUGAAGAUUGGUGCUUGCACCAAUUUGAAGAGCAGCGAACGGGUGAGUAACGCGUGGGGAAUCUGCCUUUGAGCGGGGGACAACAUUUGGAAACGAAUGCUAAUACCGCAUAACAACUUUAACCAUAAGUUUUAAGUUUGAAAGAUGCAAUUGCAUCACUCAAAGAUGAUCCCGCGUUGUAUUAGCUAGUUGGUGAGGUAAAGGCUCACCAAGGCGAUGAUACAUAGCCGACCUGAGAGGGUGAUCGGCCACAUUGGGACUGAGACACGGCCCAAACUCCUACGGGAGGCAGCAGUAGGGAAUCUUCGGCAAUGGACGAAAGUCUGACCGAGCAACGCCGCGUGAGUGAAGAAGGUUUUCGGAUCGUAAAACUCUGUUGGUAGAGAAGAACGUUGGUGAGAGUGGAAAGCUCAUCAAGUGACGGUAACUACCCAGAAAGGGACGGCUAACUACGUG